UUAAGUCCCGCAACGAGCGCAACCCUAUCUUAUGUUGCCAGCACGUUAUGGUGGGGACGUCGUAAGAGACUGCCGGGGUCAACUCGGAGGAAGGUGGGGACGACGUCAAGUCAUCAUGCCCCUUACUGUCCAGGGCUUCACACAUGCUACAAUGGCCAGUACAGAGGGCUGCGAGACCGUGAGGUGGAGCGAAUCCCUUAAAGCUGGUCUCAGUUCGGAUCGGGGUCUGCAACUCGACCCCGUGAAGUCGGAGUCGCUAGUAAUCGCAGAUCAGCAACGCUGCGGUGAAUACGUUCCCGGGCCUU
rnacentral:rRNA from 1 species